UGUAUAGCCCAUGCUCUCCUUGCUUGCCCUCCUCCCUGCAACAAAAAGAGAAGGCAAAUGUCACUGCAGGGCUCACUAUCUCUAGGCUUCUCGGCCGCCCGAACUUAUGGGGAAAGAGGUGUAGAAAUCCUGAGAACAAGGGAUCACGUAGGGCGUCGCUGAACCGGUAUUCCCAAGAGAGCUGCCAAGAACCGUAGAGCCCCUGCCACUCCUACGCCUCCCUAGAGCCCCGGGGAGCCGAAGCCACACACCCGGGCCGGAGGGCGCGCGGCGGAGCCAGGGCCACGUUUCUCGGCGCUAGCUAGCGUGGUUAGCGCUUCCCGGCCGCAAGCUCCCUCGGAAACUGCGCACGUGUGGGUAGCCGUGGCCACCCUGCACAGACCGGAGGACGCCUCUCGCCGCGGCUCGGAUACUGGGCGCGCCAGCGGGAGCCGCGAAGAGCUGGAACCCCAGAGCCCUCGGAUCGCGUGGGCAGACGUGGGAAAGAGGAGAAAUCAGAAAGCAGGGGAAUGACCUGUCUACGGAAGUCUCUGUGAAAGCAUGGCAUCUACACAUCUAAAUGGUCAUGUUCUGGAGCUUAAGACUUGGCACUUCUGAGAUACCAGACACCUUAUCCAGAGAAGCCUUCUGGUCAGGAGAGCUGGGCCUUGAGAUAUGAAAGGGUGGGGAGACCCUGAAGAUGCUGCACCCACUCUCCCCUCGCCCUGGUCCCCAGGUUCAGGUCGCAGCAACCCAGGCGCCUCUCAGGGAUUUGCGAAACACUGACGUGAGCAUUGUCGAUCUAGGCUUCAAGGCCAAGGGCACCAAGUCCCCAUUCUUGGUAGCUGCCAAUAGUAGCUCCCAAGGAUAUAAUAUCCUAAUGGAUGAGAAGCCUUCUGAACUUUGCAAUGGUGAUAUUGGUGGAGAGAAGUCACCCUCUGGAUGAAUAAGGGGACACUUGGCAAAUGUGAACAGGCCCAUAAUUUUCAGAGACAUCAGACUUUUAAAAUAUCAUUAAAUAAAUGUUGAACUGGA